rnacentral:rRNA from 1 species
CCACGCAGUAAACGAUGAUAACUGGGCGUAUGCGAUAUACCGUAUGCUCCUAAGCGAAAGCGUUAAGUUAUCCACCUGGGGAGUACGCCGGCAACGGUGAAACUCAAAGGAAUUGACGGGGGCCCGCACAAGCGGAGGAACAUGUGGUUUAAUUCGAUGAUACGCGAGGAACCUUACCCGGGAUUGAAAUGUAGAUGACAGGCGAUGAGAGUUGCUUUUCCUUCGGGACAUCUAUGUAGGUGCUGCAUGGUUGU